UGACACAGACAGUCCAUGAUCGGACACAUCUUGAAUAAAUGUGUUAAUUAGCUUUAGUACUGAUCAGAUUGAUAUUAGUUAGACAAGCCUGAUGUUGUCAUUUUUCUCCAUGAGACACUGGAUUCAAACUCUGUGCCAAACAGCAGUGGAUGUGUGAAACGCCAGGACGUUUUAGUGGUGGACUGUAUUUUCUGUGAUGGUGAAAAAAAUAGGGAAGCAAUUUCUGCAGUUGCAGACUGGAUAAAAAACUAAGUUUAGAGACCACUAAGGACGGGUAGCAGAAUGACACUGAGGAUUGAUAAAUCACCUCAUCAACCAUUCAGAAAGAUCCUGUGACUCUGACAACUACAUACCUCAACUCUUCACAGUUGAGAUCCGCUUUAGCUUGUGUCUAUCGAAUACAGAUGUUUUUAGCGAGUGCUUCAAGUGCAGAUAUUUGCAAUAAUGUAAUCAGCUGUCUAAUUAUUAUUCAGUUUAUUCCAGCCACAGUGAACUAAAAACAGACGUCAUUUGUCUCAGAGGUCUUUGUUUUAUUGACUAUGGCAUGUGCUUGAAUUGUAUUUACAGAAGCCUAGCAUGUUGACAGGCAUUUACAAACCAUUAUACUGAAUAGUUCAAAAAUCCUACUGGCUACUAAUGUAUGCAAAUAAAUGACCUGACAGUGAGUGUACAAAGCAGUAUAACUCUCCUUGCUGCAUGGCAAAGCCCAUGUAUGAUGAUAAACUAACGUUCAGUUCUUCUGUCUAAUGCCUUAUGUUAAUGUAGAGGCAAAUAUAAUUACUUAACUCAUUUAUGUGUAUUUAUUAAGAGAUUUUCAGUGAAUUGUUUCUGUGUUGGUGUUACGUAAUUAUACUGUAUUUAAUCUGCAUGAUGUAUUGAUAGAUUCUGUCUGCUACUGUGCCUUUACUCUAAAUCGUUGCCUGUAAUUAGAAAAAUGCUUAUAAUUACAAAUCACAGUAAAUUUGGUGUAAAACUGUAAAGUGUAAGUGUAAAAAGUGUGUUCGUGUCUUUUGUUCAACGGUAGAAAAUAA